CUCCAGGGCAGCAUCUGUCCCAGAUUUGCAGGCCCCUGCGCUCCAGUUUGCAGCUGGGAGCAGACACAUGGGGCUCCAUGUGCAUGUGCACGCCCACAUACAUGCGUGUGGCGGGGAAUACAGCUGGGCACCAUGGAGAGCAGCUUCCAGCAGGUUCUUCUGGGUCAGGGACCAAUCAGUGAUGGCUCCAGUGGCAGACUGUGAUGUUGGAAUCCCCUUUGGCAUCCAAUAUCAUUGGGCAUGGGAGUAGUGAGAUGGGUCCCUGCAGGUGAGUGUUCCUCCAUUCCCUUUUGACCAUGGGAACAGGGGCCAGAAACAGUCCCCUGUUACAGAGACAGAGAGAGACAGAGAGCCUUUCCUUGCUUGCUAGGCUUCCUCUACCUCUCUACUGAUUCAGUGGCCGAAUCUCCAAAUCUGAAUCGAAUCAGGAGAUCCAUUAAUCUCUCCGAAUCUAAUCGGAAUCCUCUGAUUCGCUUUGGAGAGAUUUGACAAUUCGGACAUAGACACAGAUCAGCAACUGGUGUCUCCUGGGUCUGGCAGGGGGGGCACCAGGGGUUCCCCCGCAGACCAGAAGUGCUAGUUUGUACCAAUAACAGAACAGAAGUUCAAACACACAAAACCAGUCUAUACCCACACAGACUGGUUUAAAAAUGGUGGAACCUGGUCUAGGAUUUGCCUCCCCACCAAAAUGUGAAUGUGUGUUUUGUUUGUGCAGAGAUCUGGGGCAGCAUGGGGUAGACAGUGGCAGCAAGGAAAACCCCCGGCAUGGAUCUCUGCUCCCUGCUUGCCGCUCUGCACUGGUUCCCUGCCCUGUGACCUGGUGUGACAGGGAUCAGAGAUCCGUGCGGGUGGCCCUCUCCCUCCCCCAGAUGAGCCAUCCACGGCCGUGUCCUGCUCCCUGCUGGGGCCCUGCAGCCUCUGGCCCCAAGCCCCGCUCAGCUGGGUAGGGCUGUGCGAAGCUUCUCUUGUAGCCCGUUUGAAACAGAUUCAAAGGAGAUUUGAUGGAGCCAAACCUCUGAAACAGAUUCAGCUUAAAUGAAACGGGACAGUGAUCCAAAACAUUGAAACAAACCAGUCCUCCAAAACGGCCGAAUCCAAAACCGAAUCGGAACACAGCUGUUUUGCGCAGCCAUACUAUACAGCCGUGAUUACCCACUGACUGCCUCAAUUUGCAUUUUCACUGACUGGCUCUCUCGUGUGCAUCCCGGCCUCUGGCUUCUUUUCAAUUCCAUCCAGGAAGAGCACACACCAACUGCAGAUGCUUUCUCAGCCUGAUGAAGGUUGUUUGUACCCAAAAGUUUGCAAAUAACUUUUCCAGCUAUUUCAGUUUGGCAAACUUACCUUAAAAACCUUGUCUGCCUCUGUUCUUAGACUGACACAGCUAUAACCUAUACUCCUGAAACAUGGAAAAUAUUUUUUAAUUAGAACACCUGUUCUAGUUCAAAAAAGCAUUAAUUCAGCAUUUUCAUUGCAUGUAUUAUGCAGAAGGUCAGACUAGAUUAUCCCAAUAGUCCCUUAUACCUUUAUAACCUGCAAUAAUGGACAUUCUAUUCUUACUGUAUAUUUUGUAGUGGGUAACAAAUUAGUUAAGCCAUCUCUUGCACAGAUCAACAGAGAGAGUAAGUGUUUCAUGUUGAAGCCAAAUCUCAUAUAAAACUAUAAUUGUGAAAUAAAAUGAGGGGAAAGUGAGGUUUUAUUUUUAUAUUUUAUUUGUAUAAUGCUAAAAGAAUAGUAGGAUCUUUAGAGAGAAGACAAAAUCUCUACCCCAAAGACCCAAACCUAAAUAAGAUCCUAAUAUCCAGCAAACAAAGAUGGCAUCAACUGAUGCUGAAUCAAAGAGCUAGACAACUUUCAUUGGUCCUUGUAUACUGGAAAACAGUUUUCAAAGCUAUUAAAGGUAACCUGUAUGAAGAAAAAUAAAAUAGGUUUUUUUCAUUCCUUUUUCUCAUGACCUAAAGGAUGUUUCUGUGCUUAAAUCUUGUUUCCUUACUGAGGAAAUAACACAUGAGAGUCUCAUUUUCUCUUCUGUAGGGCUCACCACUGGUUUAAAACACAACCUAGGAACAGGAUUUUUAAGCCAUGCAAGCUAAUUUGAUUUUUUUUUUUAAAAGGCAACUUUUAAGGUAUAUUCCUUUUUGCAUCAGCAUUAGUACAGGAUCUAGUCUAUGUAAAGUUGUUACAUGAUCUCCUCUUGCCUCAUCUUAUUUACCUCCAUCAUUACCUGUGGUUUUGCAUAGGCACUAACCCUAAUAGAUAUCCACUGCUAAGAGAAGCUGAGAAAAUAAGUUGCUUUCAGCAGCUUUGCUGAAAAGUGUAUAUAAAUGAACAUGUUUUUCCUCCAAGCCAUGCUAUAGCCUGAAACACCUCUCUGCAUGAAGGUGUUUAACAUGAGCUUUUCCCUGUCCUGUGAUUAAAUGAACAUGUCUAUGCAAACCUUUCCUUUUUUGGCAGUAGGCCAAACUUCAGUAGCUUUUAUUUAGGAUUUGUCUGGCUUCAUAGGGCAAUAGCUUAGAAAAGGUUCUGAAAAACAGUCUCUUACAUAUAGAUUUUACUUCCCUCUGCCUGUUAAUCUGUCAGUUCAUCUUUCCUUGCUCUCAGACAUUAAUUUAAUUCUGUAUUCACAUUUUAGUACAUUUAGUGUUUCAUCUGUAGCUCUUCAAAACAGGCGUAAUACACUAGUGAAAUAAUUCCUUUGCAUUAUUUAUUUGAAGUUAUCCUCUUUUAUGUAAUUCUUCUUUGGUAAAGAUACAUUGGCUUUCAUUCAAUAUGAUAGCCAGGGACUUGAGUCUGGUAACAGCUACAUUUAGCACUGGACAGAGUAAGCCUCCAAGGCUGAUUAUGAUUUCAGGUAUCUUGAGAAUCUGCAACUAUUCCCUGCACAGAUCUUCAUUUAAAUUCUUAGGUCAAGGCAGAAAGAUUUCUAAAGCUACCAGUCAAAUAACUUAAGGAGAAGUUGACAUGUUUCCUUUCACAUCCAUCCUUUUUAUAUAAAUGUAGACAUAGCUCUUGGUCUUUCAUGCUAUUCAGAGCUCUGUUCUGGUUUCUGUGGACUCACACUAGGAGGCACAUUUUAUAACUUUUAGUUGAUUGUGAGAUUUACCGUAUUUACUCAAAUAUAAAAUGAGGUCCGUCCUCCUGCCCAAUCAGCAUGGGGGAAAAACGCUCAUCUUACAUUUUUGUUUAAGGAAACCUCAUUAUUUAGAAACCAACUAUGAAGCGGAUUAAAUGUAGCCAACACUGAGCAUGACUAAAACACAUGGCCCAUAUGAGGCAAACAUACUGAUGGGAACCUACCACAAGGAUAGGUUAGGGCAGCUCAUCUGAAUAAGAUCUGUGACAGUACCUAUUGUGCUCAGUUCCCUUUAGCCCUGACUUUUCCCAACUCAUAGGCACUACUGUACACUGAACUUCAACUUCCUCUUCACUCCCACAGCUGAGCAGCACUUUUCUAUCACAUUUCCAAUGAUUCUGUUUCUUAUUUUUAAAGGAUCCCAGGACUCAUAACAAGAACACCCAGUUCCAGUCAUGAGUGUGGGGCGCGGGGUAUAUCUGGAGUGUACACAUCCUGAGCAAUGCUGAGCUAUGGGGUCACUGUGACUUGAAAUACCAUGGUUGACUCUGCUGUGGCCCAGUCCAAUGAGCUAGAUGGCAAAUCAUGAGACUUUUGGCUUUACUCAAAUCAUGCAUAGUUAUCUAAGUAGGUCCAAACUGCUGCUGAAAAGUGUGUUUAUGAAGUACCUGUGCUAAAACUUGGGAGUAGUUUUUUAAAAAGGUAAAAUGCAUCAAUCCUAGAUGAACUAAGUCUAUGGGUAAUCAUAGUAAAUGCCUAUAUAAAAAUUAUUACAGCCAUGUUUAUUUCAAGGUCAGCGUUUUCAAAUUUGCCUCUCACUUCUAUGUGCUCAUAGAGAGCAGAGUCUAACAGUAAGGAAGGGGGGAAGGGCAGCAGGGGGAAGAAGUUGGGGGCCCAGAGGGCAAGGGGGCCAUCUGACCCCUCCAGAUUUAAUUUUCCUUGCUGUACCAGUGGGAGGGGGACAAAUUCAAGGCAAACUGCCAGUGAUUAGAUUUGAAUACCUAGAAAAUGAUGACAAAUUUAUACAUUUUCCUUGGAUAAAAUCUCACAAGUGUCAUUUUAUAUUCAAGUAAAUACGGUAUUUUUAAUAGAAUCAGUGUUCUUGUUGACACAUUUACAUAUUGUUGAAAAUCACUGCAUAGAUUAUGCUCUAUACAUUAUUUCCCACAUAAGGGCCAUCUAGGAAGUAUCUGGUCCUAGAAUUGUCUAUGCUGCAAACAGGAGUGUUCCAUAUGUUGAGUCUAUAUUUGAAGUCUACAUGAUAUUUAUACACAUACCUUUUUGUGUUGCAAUGUACCAAAGAUACAGCGCAUUGAAGCACACUUGGUUGAGUCUGCUCUGCGUGAGCUGACAUGCCCAGCGCUGUAUCGCAUACAUUUAUAUAAAUGGCAAAAUGCACGUCAAAAUGCACUGGGAAAAUGGCAGCAGUGUACUUUUGAAUUAAAACACCUUCAAUGUGCUUUAGUUAAAAAGCAUGCCACCACCACUUUCUCAGCACUUACGUGCAUUUUGUUGUUUCUUCAAAUGUAUGCGACGUAGCUCCGGGUGCUUUCCAACACACCCAGAGCUGCAUCACGUACACGUCUAAACAUGUCCAUUAUGAGACUGAACACUUGUUUUUUUUUGCACAAGUUUUUUGUUCUAUGCAAAAAGUGCAACCCUAAUCUGUAUAAUUUAUUUUCUUUUUUAUAUUCUUCUAAAAGAGGGUCAGUGGGAGGGGGUUACCCCUCCAAAAGUAAAUAAACCCCAAAUUUAUUUAUGUUUGAAUUAAUUUGCCUACUCCCCCCUCUUCUAGGUAGAUUUUGAAUUUAAUUCUAUUAGCUAGGUCAGGGUAUUGCCAACCUCAAUCAAAUACUCAGAUCUUUUGCCUAUCAACUAACAUUAUGGAUUAAUUAAGUUAGCAGUUGUAUUGACCAAAGGUAAAAAAGUCAUCUUUAUAGAGUGUACUUAAUCAGUUGUAACAAAUAGGAAAACAUCUGCAAGUAGAAGCAUGCACAAUUUAAUUCUGAGCAGUCUGACUGGAAUCCUGACAACUGACCUUUGAACUAGAUAGCCAGGCUAGAGGUCCAUCUAAGACUACACUGCUUCUUUGGUGGUAAAAGAAGUUGUUGUCAUAUCUCCAUGGUUUACUUGGUAUUUUUGGAAACCUUAACAAUUAACAUCCGAAAUCAAAUAAGGUUAUAACAAAAGCAAUAAUCUCAUUUUACACUUCAAGAAAUAAAGGUGAUAUAUACAGAAACCUGAAAUCUGUCAUCUUCUGACCUUCAUAAAAUGAUUGCAGGUACAAUUUAAGCUGUGCUGUUUAUAUAGAGACUAAUCUGGGACCAGCACAUUUUCUGAUUGAGACAACUACAGUAAGAAUUGGUAUAUUUGAUGAAGGAUGCAGAAGGUUCAAGCUAAUACUAUGUGUGAUAAUUGUUUUUUAAAAGGUAGUAAGUUAAUUGGAUUACUUUUUGCUUCACCAUUAAAUAGCAAGGCUCUGACAAAAUGCAUGAACUUUUCUAUUCUACUUUAAGUAAUAGUAUUUAAUAAUAUGUAGCAUUUGGAACAGCUCCAAAUAGAAUGGAAAAAAAUCAGCUGUUUAAUUUUAUGAUAAUUUUAAUCAGGUAAUUGCAGGAAAACAUUGAAACAAACUGUUUUAUGAUAUUAUCUGAUAUGUCAACUUACAAGGGUAUGAUGUAACAAAACAGUUACAAACUUAUAGGCAUAUUUACAUUAUAUACUCAAAAGUAACAAGCUAUAUUCUUAUACAAAGAAAAACAUCUAUGGCAUGAAUUAAACUAAAUUAUACAUAAUUUAGUAGAAAGAAAUAGCAGUUAAGAUUUUAAUGGAAAUAAUAUACAAGUGAGGCACUUUGAGGUCAUUAGGGUGGAAAGCAAAUGGCACCAAGGAAAAGAAGAAGCAGUGUUCACAAGCAAAAAAUCUAUGUACAGAUUAUACUGCAGCUUCAAAUACAAAGGUUUCUCCACUAGAUGUUUUAGAAUUCUUGAAACUAAGCACAACUUUUUCUAUUAAAGACGCUUUCAGAAAAAUGCUUAACAUUUAUCAGUGCACCAAAGCAUAUGGAAGUUUUAACCACCUGGCUGCUGGACUAA